AUACCUGGAAGAGGGAGAGAACCGGGGGAGCAAAAUUGGUUAGCUUAUCAUCACGUGCUAUGCACGUGCCCGAUCGCUGGCAUCUCCAAGCGGUAGGGAUGAGCCGCGGAGGAUAGCGAGCGAGCUGAACAGCCGCACCCGCCGCCGAGGAAGAUGAAUCCGAUUGCCGCCAUCGGCAUCCCGCCGUUCAAACCACCUCCUCUCGUUCAUCUCUGCCGCCCUGGCCCCGUCCUCCCCCUCGUCUCUCUUCCAGCCCCACUGCGACUGCGAUUGCGAUUGCGACCCCUUCGAGGGCCCAUGCCCGUCCUCGCCUCCGCCCCCCAGCCCCCCUUCCGGGCCGCCUCGACGGCGGAGGUGGACAUGAUCCGCGGCCGCGACGGUAUGUGGUCGGCGCGAACGGAGCAGAGGGUGGCGGUCCUGUGGGACCUGGACAACAAGCCCCCCCGGGGACCGCCCUACGAAGCCGCCGUCGCCCUCCGCCGCGUUGGGGAGCUAUUCGGCCGCGUAGUCGACAUCUCGGCCUACGCGAACCGCCACGCCUUCGCCCACCUCCCCCAGUGGGUGCUCGCCCAGCGCCGCGAGCGCCGCCGCCUGGACGCCCUGGAGCGCAAGGGCCUCGUCGUUCCCGACGAGACCUACGUCUGCGGCGUCUGCGGCCGCCGCUGCCGCACCCGACCGGACCUUAAGAAGCACUUCCGCCAGCUCCACGAGCGCGAGCGCCAGAAGAAGGUCGGCCGCAUGCGCUCCCUCAAGGGAAAGAAGCGCCAGCGCUACCGGGAGCGCUUCAUCGCCGGGAACCGCAAGUACGAGGAGGCCGCGCGCGAGCUGCUCACCCCCAAGACCGGGUACGGCCUCGCGUCGGAGCUCCGGCGGGCGGGGGUGCUCGUGCGGACGGUGGAGGACAAGCCCCAGGCGGCGGACUCCGCCCUCAAGCGGCAGCUGCAGCACUCCGUGGCGCGGGGGAUCGACUGGCUCCUCCUCGUCUCCGACGACUCCGACUUCUCGGAGAUGGUCCGGCGGGCCAGGGAGUCGGACCUCCGGACCGUGGUGGUCGGGGACGGGCGGACGGCGCUGGGCCGGCACGCCGACCUCUGGGUGCCGUGGGCCCGCGUGGAGAACGGCCAGGUCGGCGAGGAGAUCCUGCGGUCUUGGCAGAGGAAGACUGGAUCAGGAUUCCCGACCAUUGAUGAUUAUGACGACGACGAUUACGGAUAUAAAUACGAAUGCGAGGAGGAGGGGUUCUAUUCGCCUGCUGUUUUUUACGAGGAAGAUGGUGAUUCUGGAGAUUUGAAUGAGGUGGUCGAUAGGAUUGCAGUUGAUUAUUCUGGGUUUGGUGGUGUCAAGAUUUCGGCCUUUUCGGAGGAGGAGGCAUGCAGCAGGGAGAUUGUGGGAGAGGAUUUUGGGGAUGAUAGCUUCCCAAUCUUGGAGCCAUCAUUGCCGGGUGAGGACUUGGUUUUGGACAGUGUGGAAGAGGAGGAGGACGGCUACAUUUAUUAGCACAGGUUAGUAUUCUAUGCUCUGUUACAUGGCAGUCAAAGAAUUCAUGAGAAUCCUGGUACACUCUUGAAAGGGGGUUCAGAAUGAUAGCCAGGUAAAAGCAUGAUUUGGCUCCCAUGGUACUAGCUGUUGCAGGAAAGUGCGGCAAGGUUUGAACUCAGCUGAUGUAGAUAGAUGGCCUCAAACAUGUUGAGGUAAGACCUCACCGCAAUAAUCAAAAUAAUUUGUCACGAGAUCCAUCCUAUUCUUUUCUAUUUUGAAGUUUAUUUUAUGGCUCUCAAAAUAAGAGUGUCAUAGGAGAGUGCUUCUUAAAAGCGAUCUUUACUUGCAUCA